GACGAACGCUGGCGGCGUGCUUAACACAUGCAAGUCGAACGGAAAGGCCCUGCUUUUGUGGGGUGCUCGAGUGGCGAACGGGUGCGUAACACGUGAGUAACCUGCCCUUGACUUUGGGAUAACUUCAGGUAACUGGGGCUACUACCGUAUAGGAGCUCCUGCUGCAUGGUGGGGGUUGGAAAGUUUCGGCGGUUGGGGUUGGAUGCGCGGCUUAUCAGCUUGUUGGUGGGGUAGUGGCUUACCAAGGCUUUGACGGGUAGCCGGCCUGGGAGGGUGGCCGGCCACAUGAGUACUGAGAGACGGCGCAGAGGGCUACAGGAGACAGCAGGGGGGAAUAUUGCACAGUGGGACGAAGCCUGAUGCAGCGACGCCGCGGUCGGGAUGACGGCCUGCGGGUUAUGAACAGCUUUCGCCUAUUACGAAGCGGGAGUGACGGUAAUGAGUGAAGAAGCACCGGCUAACUACGUG
rnacentral:rRNA from 1 species